GGCUCGGUGGUGUAGUUGGUUAUCACGUCAGUCUAACAUUCCGUUGGACCACUGAAGGUCCCGAGUUCAAACCUCGGCUGAGUCA
rnacentral:tRNA from 1 species